AACAACCGUCUCCACGUGAUGACGUUGACUGACGCGUCAUCACGGUGUUUUGACUUUCAGCGCGUUUCUUGUCCAGGUAGUUUGAAGAUGGAGACCGACCCCAGUGUCAGCUCCAUGAUCCUGUUUGAGGACGAGUCGGUGGAUGUCCGCUACGUGAACGGAUCCCAGUUGCAAGUGUCCCCGUGCGGCGGUGAGUUCCUGCUGGUGAAAGCCUCCGACCCCUCCCUGCAUCCUCUGCAGCCCAGAGAGAGGGUCCGCCAGAGGACGAGGUUCACCAUCAGCUCCUACAAGGAGUUGAUGACAGCUGCUCUGGCGUUUAGGAAUAAAUAUGCAAGUCGACCAUACCUGCCACAGGAACUCGUCCCUGCUGAACACAAGAUGUCUUUCAGUAUUGACUCGGAUGUGAUGUGGCCUGAGUUCUCCUCCUGUGAAGCUGAGCUCGGGCCUGGAGGUGAAACCAUCAUCCGGUCUGAGGAGGGACGAGCUACGCUGAUGCUGUCGCCCUCAGGAGAAGAAUUCUCCAUCGAGUUCCAGUGCAGACUCAGCCAGUUUCAGAAUCAUCAGCAGAGUGCGGAGAGUUUCAGCAGGGAAGCGGAUCGCAGGGCGAGCCGGCAGCAGCAUCCAGGGGCGAUGUACCAAUCCACCACAGUGGUCCAGCAUCACUCGUGCUUUGCUUAUGCCCCCAUGUGGCGCUACCCUCUCUCCUUAGCUCUCCACCACUGGACGACGCGUGUCUCCCAAUCUAAAGAAGUCGCAGCGGUUGGAUCCGGUUAUUCUGCCCAAGCAGACAGGAAAAUAAACAUGUCUGACAUAUCUAGUGAAGAGAGAAGGUCUUGUCUACCUCAGGCACUGGGUCUCACAUGUCUGUCCCCUCACAGACACAGGUGGAAGAGUAAAGAUGAGGACCUUCCAGCAGAGCUGAUGAAAGUGAUGUGGUGUCAAGGAGUCACCUACAGGAUACUGAGUGGAGCUGUCGCAGUCAUGGAGGUUUCUCCAGGAGAUGGAUCAGUGAUCCGUUCUAACGGUGUCCUCAACACUUAUUUUACCCAUCACCGCCCUGAGCUGCAGUCAGGGCGGGUGAAAGAGAUAUCAUACCAUCUGAAUAACCUUCCACCAGAUGUAGUUGGACAGGCCUACUCCAUAUGCUCUAUUGUGAAUCGUGCAAGCAGGAUCCUCACCUGCUAUGACCAGGCCAAACAAUCGCUGACGCUCCCUGCAACACUCAGCUGCUUGCAAGGGACCAUAGAGGGCAGACAUUUUUCUAAACCUGCAGUGCUUGAAGGAAAUCUUGCACCUGUGGAGCAUCAAAUGAUUGUUACAGAGAGACAAGAAAACCUGUCAGAUAUUGUAGCUGCAGAAGUGGAGAAGAUACAACGGUUCAACUUUCUUCUGGAGAAUAGCCACCUGCAAAGAGGUGAGAAAGCAUGUGUGGAGCAGAAAUGUCCUUCUGCAGAGGAGGGGACUCAUGAACCAGUGAGUGAGAGCUCCAUUGCUGAAGCUCUUCAGAGGACAUCCAAGGCCAUACAGGAGAUUGAUGCUCUCGUGUCUGCAACAACACUGACUUGACGGAGUGAGGGAAAAGUAGCAGAAACCCCUGCAUCUGGGCUUCACUGGGAAGAUAUGUAAUGCUCAUUGAAUACCAAGCCAGUCCCAGCUGACAUUCGGGGGGAGGUGGGGUCCACUCUGAAAAGGUCACCAGCGUAUCACAGGGUCAACAUACAGACACAAACAACCAUUCAUUCUCAUAUUCAAUGUAGAGUCUCCAAAUGAGGUUUUCUAUUCCAGAUGUGAUAAAAGUUUAAUGUGUUAAUGGUCUUUGUAGCUUUUUUAGACAUGGGUAUACGCAUUCAAUAUCUGUCUAAUCUUGAUUUACAUUUAGAAUUUUGCUCCAAAUGUUCAGAGUUUCCCUGAACUCAGCAUCUUUUGAAAUAAGAAAUUCAAAAUACUUGACUGUAGUAUAAUGUGGGUACCAUAUGCUGCCACAAGAUGGCAGUCAUGAAUAGCUCAUUAAAGAAAUUGC